GAAAUGCGAUAAGUAAUGUGAAUUGCAGAAUUCAGUGAAUCAUCGAAUCUUUGAACGCACAUUGCACCCGCCAGUAUUCUGGCGGGCAUGCCUGUUCGAGCGUCAUUUCAACCAUCAAGCCCCGGGCUUGUGUUGGGGACCUGCGGCUGCCGCAGGCCCUGAAAACCAGUGGCGGGCUCGCUGUCACACCGAGCGUAGUAGAUUCUCAUCUCGCUCAGGGCGUGCUGCGGGUUCCGGCCGUAAAACAGCCUUAUUUUACCCAAGGUUGACCUCGGAUCAGGUAGGAAGACCCGCUGAACUUAAGC
rnacentral:misc_RNA from 1 species